ensembl:lncRNA
CAUGACUGAAGUGACUUAGCAGCAGCAGCAGCUUACAUUCCACUUAUUAGAAUGUAAACUCCCUAAGGUGUUUAUCUCUGAAGACACUUCAGGCUAUAAAGCCACCUUCAGUGGAAUGGAAGACUCAAUGGAUCUUCUCCUCUUUUCUCUCCAUGAAGCCUGAAGAGGAGAUAGAAGAGUCUGAAAGGAUGGGGAGAAAGGAAGAAAGAGAGGGAGGAGACGAGGGCAGGAGAGAACUUCUUAAUGUCCAUCUGAAAUAGGUUCCUAAAGGCUGAGGACUUAAUCAACAGGCAACAAAAAGAAAUGCUUGCCUCCAUUCUGGACCCCAAAGGCAAUAAUAAUGAAGAGGUCUACCAUUCCCUUCUCCAGUGGACCACGUUUUGUCAGAACUCUCUACCAUGAGCAUCUUAUUGCAAAAUUCAGACUUAAAUUGAAGAAAGUAUGGAAGCCACUAGACCAUUCAGAGACUCUUGCUGGUGUAGAUCAACUCUUACUGUGAACAAGCAGGGUGAAGGAGGAUGUGGAAACCCACUCCAUUAUUCUUGCCUGGAGAAUCUCCAUGGACAGAGGAGCCUGGCGGGCUACAGUCCACAGGGUUGCAAAGAGUCAGACACGACUGAGUGACUAAGCACAGCACAGCACAGAGUGAAGGAAUUUAGGAGCAAAAUCCUCGACAACUUCCACCUUCCACUCCGUU